rnacentral:rRNA from 1 species
ACGGAAGGCAGCAGUGGGGAAUAUUGGACAAUGGGGGAAACCCUGAUCCAGCGACGCCGCGUGAGUGAAGAAGUAUUUCGGUAUGUAAAGCUCUAUCAGCAAGGAAGAAAAUGACGGUACUUGACUAAGAAGCUCCGGCUAAAUACGUGCCAGCAGCCGCGGUAAUACGUAUGGAGCAAGCGUUAUCCGGAUUUACUGGGUGUAAAGGGAGCGUAGACGGCCUAGCAAGUCUGAAGUGAAAGCCCGGGGCUCAACCCCGGAACUGCUUUGGAAACUGUUAAGCUAGAGUACAGGAGAGGUAAGCGGAAUUCCUAGUGUAGCGGUGAAAUGCGUAGAGAUUAGGAAGAACACCGGCGGCGAAGGCGGCUUACUGGACGAGUACUGACGCUCAGGUGCGAAAGCGUGGGGAGCAAACAGGAUUAGAUACCCUGGUA